ACAGAGCACAGGAAGUGAAGAGGAAACAGUGACCUUUCUCCUUCGGCUGCAGCCCUGUUGCCCAAGCUCAGGGCAACCCCUGAGCCCUGAUCCCAAGGGAGGCAGUGCCGCCUUCUCCUCUAGGCCUGGCAGUUCCAGGGUGACAGGAAGGUCACGAUAUCUCUGUUUGGGUGCACUGCAGCCUCCGCUUCCUGCCAGGACCAGGCUGUAUCAGGCACUGGGAUGAAGAAAACAUUCCAAGCAAUGGGCUGGCCUAGAAGACUCUCCAGGUCAUGAUGUGACCAAGGUUGCCCCUUGCCACUCCCAGCUUUAUUCUCACCAGCUCAGCAACCCCAGGGAAAAGGGAGCACCAAUUUCCAAUUGUUUCAGAACAAGGAAACUAUUGCUGCAUCCCAAGAGUCCCGCAUGCAGUAGCUCAUCAACUGGUCACAAGGACGUUAGAGAACAGACCUCAGGAGCGCACAUGCACAGAGGGAUGACCGUGUGCAGAGGCAGCAAGAGGGUCGCCAUCUGCAGGCCAAAGAGAGAGGCCUUGACGGAAAUCAACCCUGACAGCCGGCAUCUCGAGCUUGGACUUCCAGCCUCCAGCACUGUGAGAUAAUAACUGUGUUGCUUAAGCCACCCGGUCUGUGGUCUUUUGCUAUGGCAGUUCUAGCGAACAAAUAUAGUCUCUUUCCCUGCACACCUAGAAGAGUUCCUGGGAAGAUGCCCAUAUGCCUGGCUUGGUUCACUUCCCGUCUGUUACCAAUUGCUGUGGCCACCAGAUGCUGAACUCUAAUCGGUCAGGCCUUGGCCAAGUGCUCAUCCCUGGAGCUAGGGA